ACAAAGAUUAUCCUGGUUAAGAUUUUACUAAAUUGAAACAUAUUAUAGCAUUAUCUCUAAUAAUCUGAAGUGGUUAAUCCCAUCUUGACUCACACAUAGACUUCGCAAAUACUUGACUGUGUCCAGAAACCUUCCAUCACUAUAUUAAAAAUACAGAUAAUCCAGCAUCAAAGUACAGUGAGUUACUUGUAAGUCAUCGUAGUGAUCUC
rnacentral:lncRNA from 1 species